rnacentral:rRNA from 1 species
AUACGGAGGGUGCGAGCGUUAAUCGGAAUUACUGGGCGUAAAGCGCGCGUAGGCGGUUUGGUCCGUCGGAUGUGAAAGCCCCAGGCUCAACCUGGGAAUGGCAUUCGAUACUGCCUGACUAGAGUAUGGUAGAGGGAAGUGGAAUUUCCGGUGUAGCGGUGAAAUGCGUAGAUAUCGGAAGGAACACCAGUGGCGAAGGCGACUUCCUGGGCCAAUACUGACGCUGAGGUGCGAAAGCGAGGGGAGCAAACAGGAUUAGAUACCCGGGUAGUCC